GGCAUUUCCAGGAGUGGAAUGGUGGCAAUCAGAUCCAGUGGCAGGACAAUACGUAAUGUGAACUGCAUAUGGGUCUGUCUCAACUAACUCAGAAAAGGUAGAGGAAAAAGUAUUCUUUCUUCCCUUACAUCAUCACUAGGCAAAGUCCUCCACUAUUGGAGCCAACAGCAUUUGGAAUACUGAAAUUUAUUUAGCAUGUCUAGUAUGAUUGUAUUUCUAAAGAGCAGAAGAGUUUUAAAUUUUAAGAUUGAAAAUGAGGAAAAAUCUUCACAGCAUUGAAGUCUUCAACAUGACAUUGCCUGCAUGCUUUAAGCAGAAAGGGUACAACAUCAAGACAUUUAUAAUCACCAGAGAAAAUUGAUGCAUGGAAAUCUCAAAUAAAAAUAAAACCAAGCCAGAUGGCUGGGCACGGUGGCUCACUCCUGUAAUCCCAGCACUUUGGGAGGCCAAGAUGGGCGGAUCAUGAGGUCAGGACAUCGAGACUAUCCUAGAUAACUGGGUGAAAUUCCGUCUCUACAAAAAAUACGCCAGGCGUGGUGGCAUGCACCUGUAGUCCCAGCUACUUGGGAGGCUGAGGCAGGAGAAUUCCUUGAACCCGGGAGGCAGAGGUUGCAGUGAGCCGAGAUCACGCCACUGCACUGCAGCCUGGGCGACAGAGCAAGACUCCGUCUUAAAAACAAAAACAAAAACAAAAACAAAAUAAAACAGAAAAACAAGCCAGGAAUUACACUCAUUUCCUGGUGUUAUCCAAAUGGGAAAAGUUGAAACAAAUCAUCCAAAAGCCAUCCUUACUCAGCACAAGGUGUUUAUUGUCUAUAUUUAAAAUUGACUCAACAUUUUCAGUGACAAUAUUCUCUUUGCUUGAUCCUCAGUCUGACAUUCAAUUUCAGAUUUUUUGCCACUAUUACCAGAUGCAAGAAUGUCAAAGCCAGUGAACCCCUAGAGAUCAAGCUGGCCAACCUCUUCACUUAAGAGAUAAGGAAACUGGGAUUCAGAAGAGUCAAAAGACUUCCUGAAGGACUGAUAGCUAGUGGUGACCCAGAGGCAAACUCUCUUAAGAUCUCGAUGGGGCCUGGAUCAAAACACUGCUUAUCAGAAUCUAGAAAAGAUAUCAUAGUUGGAGAUAAAAUCUACGAAUAGUGCCCUGAAAAUCUUUAUAUAUACUAGGCCUGUGACUUUGACUGUAUUCAUAAUAGCUAAGUGAGAUAGAAAACUGUAUUAUCCCAAUAACUUAAUAUACUCUUUACUGUUAUUUUAAACAAUUUCUUUUCAAAUUUGGGGGGUAAAUAGUAUCUGUACAUAUUUAUGGGGUACACGAGAUGUUUUGAUACAGGCAUUCAGUGUGAAAUAAGCACAUCAUGGAGAAUGGGGUAUUGAUUCCCUCAUGCAUUCAUCCUUUGAGUUGCAAACAAUCCAAUUACACUUUUUAAGUUAUUUUAAAGUGUACAAUUAAGUUAUUCUUGACUAUAGUCAUCCUAUUGUGCUAUGAAAUAGUAGGUCUUAUUUAUUCCAUUUUUUUUGUACCCAUUAGCCAUCCCCACUUCUCCCCAAGCACCCCACUACCCUUCACAGCCUCUGGUAACCAUCCUUCUACUCUCUUUGUCCAUGAGUUCAAUAGUUUUGAUUUUUAGAUCCCACAAAUAAGUGAGAACACGCAAUGCUUGUCUUUCUAUGCCUGGCUUAUUUCACCUAACAUAAUGUCCUCCAGUUCCAUCCAUAUUGUUGCAAAUGACUGGAUCUUAUUCUUUUUUAUGGCUGAACAGUGGUCCAUUGUGUACAAGUACCAUAUUUUAAUCCAUUUAUCUGUUGAUGGACACUUAGGUUGCUUCCAAAUCUUGCCAAUUGUAAACACAGCUGCAACAAACAUGGGAAAGCAGGUAUCUCUCCGACAUACUGAUUUAAUUUCCUUUGGAUACAUAACCAGUAGUAGGAUUGCUGAAUCAUACGGCAGUUCUAUUUUGACUUUUUUGAGGAACCUCCAAGCUGUUCUCCACAGUGGUUGUACUUAUUUACAUUCCCACUGUUAAAGCAAAGUAAAUAUGGCCUGAGACGGACUCCAUACUUCUGUAUUUAGGUUCUUGCGGAUGAACCUAAAUAAGUAGACAAGAUUGAAACCUUAACUUAGGAAUAUGUGCCUGUAACAAUAGCUGAGUCAAUGCAUGAACAUGGAAUAUUUUUCCAUUUUCUGGUGUCCUCUUCAAUUUCCUUUAUCAGUGUUUUAUAGUUUGCAUUGUAGAUAUCUUUUACUUCAUUGGUUAAGUUAAUUCCUAGGCAUUUCAUUUUAUGUGUCUAUUAUAAAUGGGAUUACUUUUUUAAAUUACUUUCUCCACAUUGUUCACUAUUGACUUAUAGAAAUGCUACUAAUUUUUGUAUGUUGAUUUUGUAUCCUGUGACCAUACUAAAUUUUUAAAGUCAGUUCUAAUAGUUUUCUUGUGGAGUCUUUGAGUUUUUUCCAAAUGUAAGAUCAUAUAAUCUGCAAGCAAGGAUAAUUUUACUUCUUCUUUUCCAAUUUGGAUGUCCUUUAUAUUUUUCUCUUGACUGAUUGCUCUAGACAAGACAUGAAUGCCUGCUUUUACUACUUCUAUUCAACAUAGUGUUGGACAUGCUAGCCAGAGCAAUUAGGUAAGAGCAAGAAAUAAAAUGCAUCCAAAUUGGAAAGGAAGAAGUAAAAUUAUCUGUUUGCAGAUCACAUGACCUUAUAUGUAGAGAACCUUAAAGAUUCCACUAAAAAACUAUUAGAACUAAUAAACAAAGUCAGCAAAGUUGCAGAACACAAAAUCAACACACAAAAAGCGUUUGAUUUCUACAAACUAACAAUUAACAAUCCAAAAAGGAAAUUAAGAAAAAAAUUCCUUUUACAAUAGUAUCAGAAAGAACAAAAUAUUUGGGAAUAAACCUAACCAAGGAGGCUAAAGACUUUUACACUGAAAACAUCACUGAAAGAAAUUAAAGAAGGCACAAAUAAAUGGAUAUGAGGCAGGAGAAUAAGGUCUGGAGGCAGGGAAUAUAAGGCUAAUUCACCCUUACUUCCGAGAACUAAAUCAAAUGGAAAUAUCAAAUGGAACUAAAUCAAAUGACAGGAAAUAUCCUCUCCAUUUACAUAGGGUGUACACUAAGUAAAUUAUUUUCUAACUUUACUUCAUCCUCUUCAUUCAUAUAGGGCUUAUACCAAGCAAUCAAUGGAAACCUCUAGAGGGUAAUUAAACCCAGAAAAUUCUGAAACAGGGUUCUUCAGUCCCUAUGCUCGGGACCACUCCCAUACUGUGGAGUGCAUUUUCAUUUUCAAUAAAUUGCUGCUUUUUUUGUUUCAUUCUUCCCUUGCUUUGUUUGUGCAUUUUGUCCAGUUCUUUGUUCAAGACGCCAAGAACCUGGACACCCUCCACCGGUAACAUACUGGUAAGCCAGCCAGGAGGUAAGCCCGAAGUUUGGAAUUUAAUUUUCUCCGUUUCCUUUCUGCUUCAUACAGGGGAAUCUCUCUCUUUCUCUUUUUCUUUCCAAUGUGGGAGCCUUGGUGAGCAGCAGCUAAACAUGGAGGCAACUGGAGGUUUCCGGCCAUGGCAGGUGAAACUAAGGGGCGUCCAUGUGGAGGCGCCUAACCACCACCACCACCCAGUUUGGGCUCAUCAGAAUCUGAAAAAGAAUGCAA
rnacentral:lncRNA from 10 species